rnacentral:rRNA from 1 species
GACGAACGCUGGCGGCGUGCUUAACACAUGCAAGUCGAGCGGUAAGGCCCUUUCGGGGGUACGACGAGCGGCGAACGGGUGAGUAACACGUGGGUGACCUGCCCUCCAGCUCUGGGAUAAGCCUGGGAAACCGGGGUCUAAUACUGGAUAUGACUCCAUGACGCAUGUUGUGGGGUGGAAAGCCUUGUGCGGCUGAGGAUGGGCCCGCGGCCUAUCAGCUUGUUGGUGGGGUGAUGGCCUACCAAGGCGACGACGGGUAGCCGGCCUGAGAGGGCGACCGGCCACACUGGGACUGAGACACGGCCCAGACUCCUACGGGAGGCAGCAGUGGGGAAUCUUGCGCAAUGGGCGAAAGCCUGACGCAGCGACGCCGCGUGAGGGAUGACGGCCU